rnacentral:rRNA from 1 species
CAGUCGCCGCGGUAAUACGAAGGGGGCUAGCGUUGUUCGGAAUUACUGGGCGUAAAGGGCGCGUAGGCGGCCAUUCAAGUUAGAUGUGAAAGCCCUGGGCUUAACCUAGGAAUUGCAUUUGAUACUGUUAGGCUUGAGUUCGGGAGAGGUGAGUAGAAUUCCCAGUGUAGAGGUGAAAUUCGUAGAUAUUCGGAAGAACACCAGUGGCGAAGGCGGCUCACUGGCUCAUACUUGACGCUGAGGUGCGAAAGCGUGGGGAGCAAACAGGAUUAGAUACCCCCGUAGUCCCUGUCUCUUAUAC